AUGCCCCAUUUACUUGCCACACUUGAACUUACAUAAUUGUAGUUAUCAAGCGCCAAAAAUUGGGGUAUAUAGAAAGCACGAAGUUAUUAUCCAUUUCACAAUUUGGGAAAUGGAAUUAUGAAAUGCUUACAUU
rnacentral:snoRNA from 1 species